rnacentral:snoRNA from 1 species
CCCCAUUCAGGAUCGCACCUGGAAAGUUUCUAGUACUGUACCAGUCUCGGCUACGGGAGGGAGAAUCGAGCAGAGGCAUACCCAUUCUAUUCCUAGCUUGGGCAGUGGCUAGCGAGUGGAAGACAAUGUGCUACCAGU